GACGAACCGUGCAAACGUUGUUCGGAAUCACUGGGCUUAAAGGGCGCGUAGGCGGGUUCCAUAGUCCGCGGUGAAAGCCUCCAGCUUAACUGGAGAAGUGCCGUGGAUACUGGGAAUCUCGAGGAGGGUAGGGGCAUCUGGAACAACCGGUGGAGCGGUGAAAUGCGUUGAUAUCGGUUGGAACUCCGGUGGCGAAGGCGAGGUGCUGGACCCUUUCUGACGCUGAGGCGCGAAAGCCAGGGGAGCGAACGGG
rnacentral:rRNA from 1 species